rnacentral:rRNA from 1 species
GACGUAGGGUGCGAGCGUUGUCCGGAUUUAUUGGGCGUAAAGAGCUCGUAGGCGGCUCGUCGCGUCAGCUGUGAAAACCCGCAGCUUAACUGUGGGCUUGCAGCUGAUACGGGCGGGCUAGAGUUCGGUAGGGGAGACUGGAAUUCCCGGUGUAGCGGUGAAAUGCGUAGAGAUGUGGAGGAAUACCGAUGGCGAAGGCAGCCCCCUGGGCCAAUACUGACGCUCAUGCACGAAAGCGUGGGGAGCAAACAGG